CUGAGAGAGCUGAAUCUUAGUGACAACAAGCUGCAGGAUUCAGACGUGAAGCUGCUGUGUGAUUUUCUGGAGAUUCCACACUGUAGACUUAAGUAUUUGGGAUUGUGGUGCUGCAGCUUGUCAGAGAUCAGCUGUGCUUCUCUGGCCUCAGCUCUGAAGUCCAACCCCUCCCAUCUGAUAGUGUUGGAUCUGAGCUACAACAACUUGCAAGAUUCAGAUGUGAAGCUGCUGUCUGAUCUUAAGGAGAGUCCACACUGUAGACUGGAGACUCUGAGAUGGUGAUGAUCUCUGUAAGAGUGUGGGUGAACAUCCAGGAUUGUGUGUUGAGAGAGGAUCAGCUGUAUCCUGAUCCACCUGGACUGGAUUCUGGAUCUGGAUUUUGUCAUCUUCACUCAAGUCUCUUAACUGACUAUAAACUGAACAGUUAAAUCAGGAUUUUGUUGAAAUCAGCACUUUACAGAUUAGUUAUACAAAUUUUCCAUCUUAUCUUAAAAGAUGAAAAAAAAAAAGGUGUUAUAAGUCAGACUUUGACCCUGGGCCUAUAUUUAUCAAGUGUCUCAGAAUCGCACUGAGAGUUAAGAGGACUAAAACUAAUUUAUGAAGCAGAAGAGAAUUUACUCUGAAUGUUAGCAGGGGAGGGAUGACUCCUGGGAGAGAGUGAGAUGAUGUUGUUUUACCACAGUGAGAGCAGCAAAAUAGAAAUAAUGAUGAUGUCUUAUCGUUUCCUCACCAUCUCAGCGGGAAAUAUUAAACAGUGGUAAUUAUGUGUAUAGGCAGGUAACCAGGCAGGUAACUUACCAAGGUUAUGUAACAAAACUAUGAUGCCAAAAUUCAUUAUAAGAUGAUAUUCACAAACUGUAAAGAAAGCCCAGUCCUAUUUUCACCAUUAAAACAUAUUAAAAUAACAUAUAUUAAACUAGCACAGAACCCUGGUGCUUUUCAGACUUUGAUCUAAAACCAGGAAAAGGGAUCAUAUUACUCCAUUUCUAUCAUCACUUCACUGGUUACGUUUGUUUUAGGAUUGAUUUGAAAGAUUUGAUUGAUUACUUUUAAAGGCUCUUCGUGGCUCCAGAUUAAAUUUCAGAGUUGCUCUGUGUGUAAAUAUUAAAGGUAUAGGUAUCUAGCUUUUAUAUGCAAAAACAUGAUGUCAAAAUUAAUAGUUUAUAUCUCAUAACGAUAUUUAACAAGUCAUUUGCAUUAAGCUGUAAGUAAACACUGGUAAGCCAAUCUGGUGGCUUUAACAAUAACUAUUUAAUUUAAAGUUGUAGAUGAGAUAAUUUGAUUCAACUGCGUAAUCCAGCCCUAUCCAAUCACAUCCAUUACAUCUUGUUUUCAACAUUAGUGCAGUAAAAGAAAAAAAGAUUAGAGAAAAAGUCCAAAAACUGAAAACAGAUUUGUGUAUCAGAACUUUGUUUUUUC